rnacentral:rRNA from 1 species
AGCAUGGUCUUAGCUUGCUAAGACUGAUGGCGACCGGCGCCCGUUUGAGUAACACGUAUCCAACCUGCCGUCUACUCUUGGACACCCUUCUGAAAGGAAGAUUAAUACAAGAUGGCAUCAUGAGUCCGCAUGUUCACAUGAUUAAAGGUAUUCCGGUAGACGAUGGGGAUGCGUUCCAUUAGAUAGUAGGCGGGGUAACGGCCCACCUAGUCUUCGAUGGAUAGGGGUUCUGAGAGGAAGGUCCCCCACAUUGGAACUGAGACACGGUCCAAACUCCUACGGGAGGCAGCAGUGAGGAAUAUUGGUCAAUGGGCGAGAGCCUGAACCAGCCAAGUAGCGUGAAGGAUGACUGCCCUAUGGGUUGUAAACUUCUUUUAUAAAGGAAUAAAGUCGGGUAUGUAUUUUCGUUUGCAUGUACUUUAUGAAUAAGGAUCGGCUAACUCCGUGCCAGCAGCCGCGGUAAUACGGAGGAUCCGAGCGUUAUCCGGAUUUAUUGGGUUUAAAGGGAGCGUAGAUGGAUGUUUAAGUCAGUUGUGAAAGUUUGCGGCUCAACCGUAAAAUUGCAGUUGAUACUGGAUAUCUUGAGUGCAGUUGAGGCAGGCGGAAUUCGUGGUGUAGCGGUGAAAUGCUUAGAUAUCACGAGGAACUCCGAUUGCGAAGGCAGCCUGCUAAGCUGCAACUGACAUUGAGGCUCGAAAGUGUGGGUAUCAAACAGGAUUAGAUACCCUGGUGGUCCACACGGUAAACGAUGAAUACUCGCUGUUUGCGAUAUACUGCAAGCG